AAUCCAUACAUCAGACAUUUUUGAAUUAAAUCUUUAAAUCGUUCCCAAGCUUCAUAUCAUCCUCCAAUUUUUGAAAGGAUGUGAUGUCAUUUCUAAGCUU
rnacentral:snoRNA from 1 species